rnacentral:rRNA from 1 species
GAUGAACGCUGGCGGCGUGCCUAAUACAUGUAAGUCGAGCGAACGGACGAGAAGCUUGCUUCUCUGAUGUUAGCGGCGGACGGGUGAGUAACACGUGGAUAACCUACCUAUAAGACUGGGAUAACUUCGGGAAACCGUAGCUAAUACCGGAUAAUAUUUUGAACCGCAUGGUUCAAAAGUGAAAGACGGUCUUGCUGUCACUUAUAGAUGGAUCCGCGCUGCAUUAGCUAGUUGGUAAGGUAACGGCUUACCAAGGCAACGAUGCAUAGCCGACCUGAGAGGGUGAUCGGCCACACUGGAACUGAGACACGGUCCAGACUCCUACGGGAGGCAGCAGUAGGGAAUCUUCCGCAAUGGGCGAAAGCCUGACGGAGCAACGCCGCGUGAGUGAUGAAGGUCUUCGGAUCGUAAAACUCUGUUAUUAGGGAAGAACAUAUGUGUAAGUAACUGUGCACAUCCUGACGGUACCUAAUCAGAGAGCCACGGCUAACUACGUG